rnacentral:rRNA from 1 species
CACGUAGUUAGCCGGAGCUUCUUCUGCAGGUACCGUCGUUCUCUUCCCUGCUGAAAGCGGUUUACAACCCGAAGGCCUUCGUCCCGCGCGCGGCGUUGCUGCGUCAGGCUUUCGCCCAUUGCGCAAAAUUCCCCACUGCUGCCUCCCGUAGGAGUCUGGGCCGUAUCUCAGUCCCAAUGUGGCCGGUCGACCUCUCAGUCCGGCUACCCAUCGCGGGCUAGGUGGGCCGUUACCCCGCCUACUACCUAAUGGGCCGCGACCCCAUCCCGCACCGUCGGGGCUUUCCCGCCCCCCUCAUGCGGAGGGGGCGGAGUAUCCGGGUAUUAGCUGCCGUUUCCAGCAGUUAUCCCGGGGUGCGGGGCAGGUUGGUCACGUGUUACUCACCCGUUCGCCACUCUAUAUCCGCCCGGAGGCGGUUUAAUCGUUCGACUUGCAUGUGUUAAGCACGCCGCCAGCGUUCAUCCUGACGCCGAGGACUCAAAACUCU